UACAGGAGGUGCAAGCGUUGUUCGGAAUUAUUGGGCGUAAAGGGAGUGUAGGCGGCUUGUUAAGUCUUCUGUGAAAUCUACGGGCUCAGCCUGUAAAGUGCAGAGGAAACUGGCGAGCUUGAGUGUCGGAGAGGAUAGGGGAAUACCCGGUGUAGAGGUGAAAUUCGUAGAGAUCGGGUGGAACACCAGUGGCGAAGGCGCCUAUCUGGCUGACAACUGACGCUGAGACUCGAAAGCAUGGGGAGCAAACAGG
rnacentral:rRNA from 1 species